CAAGGAAUUUUCCGCAAUGGGGGCAACCCUGACGGAGCAACGCCGCGUGUGGGAUGACGCCUUUUGGGGUGUAAACCACUUUUGCCGAGGAGGAGAACGGACAGUACUCGGCGAAUCAGGGCCGGCUAACUACGUGCCAGCAGCCGCGGUAAUACGUAGGGCCCGAGCGUUGUCCGGAAUGACUGGGCGUAAAGCGCGCGCAGGCGGUCUUUCAAGCGGCACGUGAAAGCCCCGGGCUUAACCCGGGAGGGUCGUGGCGAACUGGGAGACUUGAGACCGGUAGAGGCGGGUGGAAUUCCUGGUGGAGUGGUGAAAUGCGUAGAGAUCAGGAAGAACACCGGUGGCGAAGGCGGCCCGCUGGGCCGGCACUGACGCUGAAGCGCGAAGGCGUGGGGAGCGAACAGGAUUAGAUACCCCCGUAGUCC
rnacentral:rRNA from 1 species